ACAAGAGGGAACUCUGUGAGACUUGCUUCAGUCAGGUGCCAGUGGUGGAGGCCAGAGAGCGGACAGAACUGUUGCACAGGGUGUGUCUGGGAGAGAGAAGGGCAGAGCUCACCAGGCACGUGGGGCAGGAAGUGUGUGUGUCGGGGGGUGAGACUAGAGACUGGAACACAGGCAUGGAUUAAGAGGAUAGAAAGGGAUUAAGAGGGAGAAGUUAAAGACCAAGCGGUGAGGGUCUAAAUUCGAACAGGUCCUAGACAAGCCGGGGAUUGGGGGAUGUGUCCAACCACGAAGAGCAAGAGUGACCCCUGGAGAGGAGGGACCCCUUCUCCUCUGGGGCUCUAUCUAACAAGGCUUACAGAGCUGGGAAAUUUUACACAUGAAUCUUGGAGACUAUAACCCUGAAUAAUCUGCAGAUCUUCAGUUUUAAGAUCCAUUUUUAGAAAUAUCUGUGGAUAACAGGACUUCCAUUUCUCUAGAUACUUUAGGCUUUUUAUUCCAAUACCAAGAUAAGCCACCAGAGUACCAGGACUUUGGACUACAUAGUUUUGCCUGUUUUAUUUCUAAGAGUCCUUCUUUGGUAUUGUAAACUAGGCAAGGAAUUAGAAAACGUAAAAAAGGAGCCAGUAGAAAUUAAACUGGAAAAACACAAAACAACCCCAAAACCC